ensembl:misc_RNA 7SK 7SK RNA
GAAUGUUAGAGCAAUCUAGCUGCAACAACUGUCACACCAUUCAUCAUCAACAUUGAUUCAGCUGUCCUGGAUAACCAGGCAGUUGAUCCCUUCCCCACUCACUACACCAUGUAUACUACUCCCAAAGCCACAUGCUCCAUUGAAGUGGAUGUCCUUCUCAUGCACAUGGAAGCCACUCCACACUGAUAUCCAAAUAUAUAUAUAUGAAUACUUAUAUCCCUGUGCUAGGAAUUCUCCCAGAUCUCUAAAGGUCCACUUGAAGGAAUUAAGAAUCCCAAAAAUAGCACACCAUUGCCUCAAAAAUAUAGUAUGGCUCAAGGGU